rnacentral:rRNA from 1 species
UAGGGAAUCUUCCGCAAUGGACGAAAGUCUGACGGAGCAACGCCGCGUGAGUGAAGAAGGAUUUCGGUUCGUAAAACUCUGUUGUUAGGGAAGAAAAAAUGUAUAGUAACUAUAUACAAAAGAGACGGUACCUAACCAGAAAGCCACGGCUAACUACGUGCCAGCAGCCGCGGUAAUACGUAUGUCGCGAGCGUUAUCCGGAAUUAUUGGGCUUAAAGGGCAUCUAGGCGGUUAAACAAGUUGAAGGUGAAAACCUGUGGCUCAACCAUAGGCUUGCCUACAAAACUGUAUAACUAGAGUACUGGAAAGGUGGGUGGAACUACACGAGUAGAGGUGAAAUUCGUAGAUAUGUGUAGGAAUGCCGAUGAUGAAGAUAACUCACUGGACAGCAACUGACGCUGAAGUGCGAAAGCUAGGGGAGCAAACAGG